AUAUGGGGCGUGCCUGGUGUAUUAUUCCCCGGCCCCCCUGAGGGUAGAGAGUGCACUGUGUGUGUGAUCGGUAGUGAGGAGAAGCGAGAGCUCUGUGCGGGUGACUCCUGCUCGCAAGCUUGUCGGCUCUCAUUCCACCUAUCCAAAAGCUGUAACACAAACAAGUCCCGUAGCCCUAACACAGCCCACACUGGUACAGGGUUCGGCAAACAAAACUCCCGUAUUUUUUUUUUUUAUUCCAUUGGUUCAGCGCUAGUGAAGUGGGGUUUUACGAUGUGCCUUACCAUUUUCAGUUAGUCUUGUCUUGGACGGGAGUGUUGAAUCAUUUAUCCGAAACAACGAAUAUGUGAUUGCCAUGCAGAGACCUUCUCAAAUCCACUGUGUGCUUGGCCAAAAUGCAGCUGUUCCGGACUGAAAAACCAUAUUGCUAUGGGUUGCAAAUUUUCAGAGCUACCGCUUUGGCGAAGACCAGAAAAUGUCAAAGCCGUGUGACAGUCCGUUGUGUAAUCUCCCAAACGGUUAUCCCGUAAACAUGCUUCUGCUUUGGGGCUAUCUGAUCAAACGGCUGGAGAAUGGCCAGGCUGUCGGAGGAGCGGAUUCUGGAACCGGCAACAUGCAAGUGGCAAUGGGAGAAGCAGUCACUCCUCAGAUCCACACCAGCCACUUUCACACUCUGCCCCUGAGCUUUGUUAAUGGUCAUGGCGUAGCAGACCUGUACCGGGAACUGCAGCUGUUUGAACUGGAAAUGGUCGUCUGAUUGGAUUAGAGGAAUUCUCGGAAUGAAGACAGUUUCCGGUGGAUUCUAAAGAAGCCCCUAACAAUCCCCCAAAUUAAAAUGAAGCAAAAAUCGACAACUUGUUGGUAAAAGUAUCGUGAAAAAAAAUAUUGUUUUUUAAACUAGAUUAACAUGCUGCUAAAAAUAUAUACACCUACUUAAGCACUUGAUUUGGUAACGUUUGUAUGCAAAAACAAAAUCUAAAUCUUAUCUGGAUUAAGCAAUAAUGAAGAAUUUAUAAAACACACAUUUCACCCCUUUGAGGGUGGACUUGUGAAAAAUCCCUUAUUAGUGGGUGUCUACGUCACAAAACAAAGCUACUGUCCAAAUUUCAAGUUCCUAGUCCUCAUGGUUCCAGAGAUUUCAUGAUGAGUCAGUGGUAUUUGGCUUUUAUAUAUGUAGAUUGUCUGGAAUCUGCAUAGGAGCUCUGAUUUACAGAGCCGGCCCUAACCAAUAUGAUGCCCUAGGCAAGAUUUUGGCUGGUGCCCCCUAGCACCACCGCUAGUUCUGCCUCUGACCCUGCACCCCUUUCCCAGCACCAGGCCACAAAGGUAUGUGUUUUUGCUGGCAAGGGGCAUGGCCACACAAUAGUACCCCCAAUUCAACUUAUGCCUCACAGUACUGCAACUUUAUUUGCAAUUUAUCAUACGAUAGUGUCCCUUAUUCACAUUACGUCCCACAGUAGUAUCACUUAACCUUAUAUACGUUACUCCUCACAGUAGUGCCCCUCAUUCACAUAACAUACUGAAUUGCUCCUUAUUCAUAUUAUACCACACCAUAUUGCUCUUUAUUCUCAUUACACCACACUAUAUUGCUCUGUAUUCACAUUAGACCACACAGUAGUGCCCUUUCUAUACGUUACGCCACACAGUAGAGCACCUUAUACACAUAAUGCCACACAUUGGUAAUGCAUUUAUACACAUAAUGACACACAUAAUGUCCCUUACACAUAUGCCACACAUUAUUAGUGCCCUUAUACACAUAAUGACACACACAGUGCCCCUUACACAUGUUACACAUUAUUAGUGCCCUUAUACACAUAAUGACACACACAGUGCCCCUUGCACAUAUGUUACACAUUAUUAAUGCCCUUAUUAAUACACAUAUAGUUCCUGGCGUGAGUCAUCUGGCAGCUUUGCUAACGUCGGAUGCCUAUUUUUUUAUGAAAAUGCAUCUUAUGUACAUUGCUGUGUGGCAAAGAUGCACAAGCAGCUUCCGCUGAUUAAAAUGAUAUGCAGCAUGCCUAUAUUCUGUGUGCGACUGUGACUGUAUCUGCAUACAAAAUGCUACACACAGAAUAUAGGCAUGCCGCAUAUCAUUUUAAUCAGCAGAAGCUGCUUGUGCCCCUAGGCAUAUCAGAUGCCCUAGGCAAUUGCCUAGUUUGCCUAUGCCUAGGGCCGGCUCUGCUGAUUUAUCACUGCUGUAGGUUGAGUUGUGUGUUAGUUCCAUAGCAAUUUCUAUGUUAUGGAGACAUGAUAUCUGUCCAUAAACCACUUUCCCAAGAGUGCUCUGCUCUCCAUGGUCUUGUAGACCCUCAGCUAUAAUGGUAACAUACAUAGUAGCAUAGUAUUUGAGGUUGAAUAGAGGCAAAUUGCCCAUCGUGUUCAACCUGUUUUAAGUUGAUGAUUCUACAUACUUGCUGAAUAAUGUUUUAUGACUAGUUAGCUACUAUAACUCAUGUUGCCCUCGGAUUAACCACGUUGAUAUUUUAAGUAUUAUAACCUUGGAUAGCUUUUUUUAUUCAGAAAUGUAUCCAUUCCUUUUUUAAAUCCAAUUACAGAGUCUACCAUUACCACCUUCCCCGCUAGGGAAUUCCACAUCCUGAUUGCCCUAACAGUGAAGAACCCUUUCCUCCGUUGCGUUCGGAACUUUCUCUCCUCCAGUCGCAGCGAGUGCCCACGUGUCCUAAACUGUGUUCUUUUAAUAAAUAAUUCCUCUGAUAA